rnacentral:rRNA from 1 species
UACGUAGGGUGCAAGCGUUAAUCGGAAUUACUGGGCGUAAAGGGCUCGUAGGCGGCCAACUAAGUCAUACGUGAAAUCCCUCGGCUUAACCGGGGAACUGCGUCUGAUACUGGAUGGCUUGAGAUUGGGAGAGGGAUGCGGAAUUCCAGGUGUAGCGGUGAAAUGCGUAGAUAUCUGGAGGAACACCGGUGGCGAAGGCGGCAUCCUGGACCAACACUGACGCUGAGGAGCGAAAGCCAGGGGAGCAAACGGG